UACGUAGGGUGCGAGCGUUGUCCGGAAUUAUUGGGCGUAAAGAGCUCGUAGGCGGUUUGUCGCGUCUGCUGUGAAAACCCGAGGCUCAACCUCGGGCCUGCAGUGGGUACGGGCAGACUAGAGUGCGGUAGGGGAGAUUGGAAUUCCUGGUGUAGCGGUGGAAUGCGCAGAUAUCAGGAGGAACACCGAUGGCGAAGGCAGAUCUCUGGGCCGUAACUGACGCUGAGGAGCGAAAGCGUGGGGAGCGAACAGG
rnacentral:rRNA from 1 species